AAAAAUUAAAAAAAAAAGAAAAAAGAAAAAGCAUCUUUGUGUCUAGAAGGUUACAAGCUUGAGUAAAAGCAACCUCUCAGCGAAAAGUAAAAAAAAACCUUGAGAAAGUUGAGGAAGAUAGAUGAUUCUCCCUUGACCCCUACAAAGCAUGGAGCCUUGUAACUGGAUGCCAUUCUUGUGGAUUUUAUGUGAUGUUCGUGAAACUAGCUCACUCGUAUGAGGAGUGUAAGGUUUGUACUAAAAAUACAUUCAGAAAAUGAGAUAAUUUCCUUACUACAACUGAAGAAGUCAUUAUAGGUUUACUUAUUUGUACAGUUAUUUGAGAAACAACUCUAUAUAAUUAAAGAAAAAUGGGUAAGAAUUUAAAUGAGUUUGUGAAGCAAAGAUGUCCUGUGUUGUGGAAAGGGUGGUUUUCUUGGCUUCUGUUUGUAACUUGAGAUUCAUGGUCUUCGGUUGAAAUCUAUUUAGCAUGAUUGGAGAGCGCAACUAUUUUAGUUUUGUCUUUCUUAUUUGUUUUUAGCUACUAUUUAAGAUAGGAGGAUACCUUAUCCUAUAUUCUCUAGUUCGGCCGUAAUACAUCCAGUCAGCCUGUUGCAGCAAAGGCUGAAAGUUAAGCAAAAGCGUUGUACCUUAAAGUUGAAAAAUCCUGGAAUAGUAGCUAAUUGAAUGAAAUAAACAAAAAAUAUAAACUCUUUUAGGGUUAAAAAGUUUUUAAUAAUAUCCCAAACAAGUCUAAUGUGAAAUCUAGAAGAAAA
rnacentral:misc_RNA from 1 species